rnacentral:rRNA from 1 species
GACGAACGCUGGCGGCGUGCUUAACACAUGCAAGUCGAACGAAGUGGCGAACGGGUGAGUAACGCGUAAUCAACCUGCCCUUCAGAGGGGGACAACAGUUGGAAACGACUGCUAAUACCGCAUACGGAAGGAGGGGAUUGCGUCUGAUUGGCUAGUUGGAGGGGUAACGGCCCACCAAGGCGAUGAUCAGUAGCCGGUCUGGGGAGAUGGACGGCCAAAUUGGGAAUGGGAAACGGCCCAAAAUCCUGCGGGGGGCAACAGUGGGGAAUCUUCCGCAAUGGGCGGAAGUCUGACGGAGCCAAGCCGCGUGAGUGAUGACGGCCUUCGGGUUGUAAAGCUCUGUUAAUCGGGACGCGGUACCGGAAUAGAAAGCCACGGCUAACUACGUGCCAGCAGCCGCGGUAAUAC